rnacentral:rRNA from 1 species
UACGGAGGGGGCUAGCGUCGUUCGGAAUUACUGGGCGUAAAGCGCACGUAGGUGGCUUUGUAAGUUAGAGGUGAAAGCCCGGGGCUCAACUCCGGAAUUGCCUUUAAGACUGCAUCGCUAGAACGUCGGAGAGGUAAGUGGAAUUCCGAGUGUAGAGGUGAAAUUCGUAGAUAUUCGGAAGAACACCAGUGGCGAAGGCGACUUACUGGACGACUGUUGACACUGAGGUGCGAAAGCGUGGGGAGCAAACAGG